GUGUAUCUAUAAUGGACGGCUAGAAGUCCGCGAACAACAACAACAGUCGCCUUUUACGUCUUGAAAACCGGGAUGAAAAUGAUUAUCAGAGUUACUCAAUGUUGGAUUUAUCAUUAUGGACAUGUUGUACAAAGUCUCCGAGAAGACACUGAAGUUCCAGGCCGCACUACAAGUCUUCUGAAAGGGCCACGGAAGCCCUGCCUGGAACGGCGCAAGUGUUAGCUUCCCACCCAAACAAACCAUGGCCGACCCGCCCGCCCAGAAAGGUUCUGCCAGAAAGGUCCUGUCAAAAGGAAGACCUGAAACUAAGGUACACUGUGGCCUCUGUCACCUUAGAAGGCGCCCUUUUAAUCUGCAUUGGGAGAGGGGGCCUCUUCUACGGAGUCUGCCAUGUUGCACCGCCAUGUUGCACCACCAUGUUCCUACAAUAGCCCUGAACUGACAGUCCCAAUGCUGGCUCAACAGAGGGACUUCUUGACCUGAAGGCCACUGUAGAACCUCAUACAUGCUCGAAAGGGAAGGGUGAGAGCUAGAGGAGCGAUCCCGAGGCCUGCUCCUUAUCCUCUCCCUCAUCUCCAGCUCCACACUCAGCUCCUGCUGCUGCUGCUGCUGCUGCUCGCUGUCAGUUCUCCAGGUAGCCCCACACUGCAGGGGCGAAGAGGACGACAUGGGCAGACUGGGACUGGGAGUUCCUGAGGCAGUGCUGGCAGGGGCCAUGAGGACAGCGUUGCUGUAGAUGCUGCUGGUGUUGCUGCUGCUGGUUCUGGAGGAUUUGAAGCUGGAGGAAGACCUGCUGCUGCUUCAGUAGAUGGGAAUACGCUGGGUCUAAAGACGUCGUAGAGAAUAAAUAUAGAAGAAUAUAGCGUCCAAUUGGUACCUGCAGUCCCAGAACCUCCUCUCUGAUCUGGAGGAAUGUACUGGUGAUACUUGAGUUUCUUCAUCUUGGGUUUAUUGUCCCUUGGUUUUCGAGGGCGGGGGAGGUU